GUUAUAGGGUCAAGCGAACAAGUGCAUGUGGUGGAUGCCUUGGCGAUCACAGGCGAUGAAGGACGCGGUAGCCUGCGAAAAGCUACGGGGAGCUGGCAAACGAGCUUUGAUCCG
rnacentral:rRNA from 1 species